AACGAACGCUGGCGGCAGGCUUAACACAUGCAAGUCGAACGCGUGCAGCAAUGCACGAGUGGCGCACGGGUGAGUAACGAGUGGAUAUCUGCCUUUUGGUUCGGAAUAACCCCGGGAAACUGGGGCUAAUACCGGAUGGUUCCUACGGGAUAAAGAUUUAUCGCCAAAAGAUGAGUCCGCGUCCGAUUAGCUAGUUGGUGAGGUAAUGGCUCACCAAGGCGACGAUCGGUAGCUGGUCUGAGAGGACGAUCAGCCACACUGGGACUGAGACACGGCCCAGACUCCUACGGGAGGCAGCAGUGGGGAAUAUUGGACAAUGGGGGCAACCCUGAUCCAGCCAUGCCGCGUGAGUGAUGAAGGCCUUCGGGUUGUAAAGCUCUUUUGGCGGGGACGAUGAUGACAAUACCCGCAGAAUAAGCCCCGGCUAACUUCGUG
rnacentral:rRNA from 1 species